rnacentral:rRNA from 1 species
CCUUCGGGGUACUCGAGCGGCGAACGGGUGAGUAACACGUGAGUAAUCUGCCCCAGGCUCUGGGAUAGCCACCGGAAACGGUGAUUAAUACCGGAUACGACAACCGAUUGCAUGAUCUGGUUGUGGAAAGUUUUUCGGCCUGGGAUGUGCUCGCGGCCUAUCAGCUUGUUGGUGAGGUAAUGGCUCACCAAGGCUUCGACGGGUAGCCGGCCUGAGAGGGUGACCGGCCACACUGGGACUGAGACACGGCCCAGACUCCUACGGGAGGCAGCAGUGGGGAAUAUUGGACAAUGGGCGGAAGCCUGAUCCAGCAACGCCGCGUGAGGGAUGACGGCCUUCGGGUUGUAAACCUCUUUCAGCACAGACGAAGCGCAAGUGACGGUAUGUGCAGAAGAAGGACCGGCCAACUACGUGCCAGCAGCCGCGGUAAUACGUAGGGUCCGAGCGUUGUCCGGAAUUAUUGGGCGUAAAGGGCUCGUAGGCGGUCUGUCGCGUCGGGAGUGAAAACCAGGUGCUUAACACCUGGCCUGCUUUCGAUACGGGCAGACUAGAGGUACUCAGGGGAGAAUGGAAUUCCUGGUGUAGCGGUGAAAUGCGCAGAUAUCAGGAGGAACACCGGUGGCGAAGGCGGUUCUCUGGGAGUAUCCUGACGCUGAGGAGCGAAAGUGUGGGGAGCGAACAGGAUUAGAUACCCUGGUAGUCCACACCGUAAACGUUGGGCGCUAGGUGUGGGAUCCAUU